rnacentral:rRNA from 1 species
CCUACGGGAGGCUGCAGUGGGGAAUAUUGGACAAUGGGCGAAAGCCUGAUCCAGCCAUGCCGCGUGUGUGAAGAAGGCCUUCGGGUUGUAAAGCACUUUCAGUGGGGAAGAAAGCCUUGGGGCUAAUACCCUCGAGGAAGGACAUCACCCACAGAAGAAGCACCGGCUAACUCCGUGCCAGCAGCCGCGGUAAUACGGAGGGUGCGAGCGUUAAUCGGAAUUACUGGGCGUAAAGCGCGCGUAGGCGGUCUGAUAAGCCGGUUGUGAAAGCCCCGGGCUCAACCUGGGAACGGCAUCCGGAACUGCCAGGCUAGAGUGCAGGGGAGGAAGGUAGAAUUCCCGGUGUAGCGGUGAAAUGCGUAGAGAUCGGGAGGAAUACCAGUGGCGAAGGCGGCCUUCUGGACUGACACUGACGCUGAGGUGCGAAAGCGUGGGUAGCAAACAGGAUUAGAUACCCCUGUAGUC